UGGGGAAUAUUGCACAAUGGGCGAAAGCCUGAUGCAGCGACGCCGCGUGAGGGAUGACGGCCUUCGGGUUGUAAACCUCUUUCAGUAGGGAAGAAGCGAAAGUGACGGUACCUGCAGAAGAAGCACCGGCUAACUACGUGCCAGCAGCCGCGGUAAUACGUAGGGUGCGAGCGUUAUCCGGAAUUAUUGGGCGUAAAGAGCUCGUAGGCGGUUUGUCGCGUCUGUCGUGAAAGUCCGGGGCUUAACCCCGGAUCUGCGGUGGGUACGGGCAGACUAGAGUGCAGUAGGGGAGACUGGAAUUCCUGGUGUAGCGGUGGAAUGCGCAGAUAUCAGGAGGAACACCGAUGGCGAAGGCAGGUCUCUGGGCUGUAACUGACGCUGAGGAGCGAAAGCAUGGGGUGCGAACA
rnacentral:rRNA from 1 species